rnacentral:rRNA from 1 species
UACGUAGGCAGCAAGCGUUGUUCGGAAUCACUGGGCGUAAAGCGCACGUAGGCGGGUUGCUAAGUCAGGGGUGAAAUCCUGGAGCUCAACUCCAGAACUGCCCUUGAUACUGGCGGCCUUGAGUCCGGGAGAGGUGAGUGGAACUGCGAGUGUAGAGGUGAAAUCGUAGAUAUUCGCAAGAACACCAGUGGCGAAGGCGGCUCACUGGCCCGGUACUGACGCUGAGGUGCGAAAGCGUGGGGAGCAACAGG